UGUCCCUCCUCUAGACCAACUUAGUUGUGAGAAAGUCUGUAUCUUUAGAGGAGGUAGCCGUAUGACUGUAUCAUUUAUUGAUAUUCUCCUAAUUAGUGAUUAACUGACGGUUCUUAGCAGGAUUGGGCUAAAUGCUGAAAUAAAAACCUGAGGUGAAGAACUAUCUUUCCCUGCAGUAGAAGUCCAUGUGAGAGGAGAGAGCUGUAUGAUACUAGGAGGACAAGACACCAAUAAGAGACUCACAGCAGGUGGGCUUUUCUCCUCUCCAGAGCACCAACUGAAACAGACAGAAUGAACAGAGCACGAGGACUGUGUUUCACUUUACUACUACUGGGGUGUGUACAUGGGAGCAAGUCUCCUCAAAGAGUGGUAUUCAGUAGAGGGAUCCAACUCUUUGUUGAAGGUUUGAACCCUUCUAAUCCCACUGUAGUAAUCCUCUCCUCAUCUGGGCACAACCCUGGUGCCUCACCUACACUGGUGUGUAUACUCAGUGGUUUAAAAACACACCAUUUGUUGGACAUCAUUUGGUGGAUCAACGACACAGUGGUAACCCCUGAGAACAAUGCCAUUUGGAGUUCCAGGGGAAGUGAUGGCACGUACACAACUACCGGACUGUGGACUAUGUCUGGAAAGGACUGGAAUCCCUAUAGUAACUAUGAGUGUGGAACCAGACAUGAAGGAAAGCAUUAUAGAAAUGGUACACAGCCCUCGCUUUGCAUGGAUUUUACUUGAUUACAAAUAUUUGUUAACCUAUCAAAAAUUAUCCUUAGCGUUUCAUGUACAAUCUUUACUAUUAUUAAAGUAUUCAUGAUGUUUCUUGAGUAUUUUAUUGAAAGAGCAGGUAGCCUAGUGGUUAGAGCUUUGGAAUAGUAACUGAAAGGUUGCAAGUUCA